GACGAACGCUGGCGGCGUGCCUAAUACAUGCAAGUCGAGCGCAGGAAAUCGACGGAACCCUUCGGGGGGAAGUCGACGGAAUGAGCGGCGGACGGGUGAGUAACACGUAAAGAACCUGCCCUCAGGUCUGGGAUAACCACGAGAAAUCGGGGCUAAUACCGGAUGGGUCAUCGGACCGCAUGGUCCGAGGAUGAAAGGCGCUUCGGCGUCGCCUGGGGAUGGCUUUGCGGUGCAUUAGCUAGUUGGUGGGGUAAUGGCCCACCAAGGCGACGAUGCAUAGCCGACCUGAGAGGGUGAUCGGCCACACUGGGACUGAGACACGGCCCAGACUCCUACGGGAGGCAGCAGCAGGGAAUCUUCCACAAUGGACGAAAGUCUGAUGGAGCAACGCCGCGUGAACGAUGAAGGCCUUCGGGUCGUAAAGUUCUGUUGUAAGGGAAGAACAAGUGCCGCAGGCAAUGGCGGCACCUUGACGGUACCUUGCGAGAAAGCCACGGCUAACUACGUGCCAGCCGCCGCCGUAACAC
rnacentral:rRNA from 1 species